rfam:Bombyx mori DNA, contig: Bm_scaf96_contig35343, strain: p50T/Dazao, build 2, whole genome shotgun sequence.
UUAAAUUAAAUUUGUAUGGAGUUGGAAUGUUUGCCGCUAGGGGCGUUGUUCCAACUGCAUACAAAUUAGAGUUA